GGGGAUGUCGCCAAGCGGUAAGGCACAGGACUUUGACUCCUGUAUGCGUAGGUUCGAAUCCUGCCAUCCCUGCCA
rnacentral:tRNA from 6 species